GUGGGGAAUCUUAGACAAUGGGCGCAAGCCUGAUCUAGCCAUGCCGCGUGAGCGAUGAAGGCCUUAGGGUUGUAAAGCUCUUUCGUGGGGGAAGAUAAUGACUGUACCCCAAGAAGAAGCCCCGGCUAACUCCGUGCCAGCAGCCGCGGUAAUACGGAGGGGGCUAGCGUUGUUCGGAAUUACUGGGCGUAAAGCGCACGUAGGCGGACUGGAAAGUCAGUGGUGAAAUCCCGGGGCUCAACCCCGGAACUGCCUUUGAAACUCCCAGUCUUGAGUUCGAGAGAGGUGAGUGGAAUUCCGGGUGUAGAGGUGAAAUUCGUAGAUAUUCGGAGGAACACCAGUGGCGAAGGCGGCUCACUGGCUCGAUACUGACGCUGAGGUGCGAAAGCGUGGGGAGCAAACAGGAUUAGAUACCCUAGUAGUCC
rnacentral:rRNA from 1 species